rnacentral:rRNA from 1 species
GAUGAACGCUGGCGGCGUGCUUAACACAUGCAAGUCGAACGGAAAGGCUCCUGCUUGCUGGGGUACUCGAGUGGCGAACGGGUGAGUAACACGUGGGUGAUCUGCCCUGCACUUCGGGAUAAGCCUGGGAAACUGGGUCUAAUACCGGAUAGGACGAUGGUUUGGAUGCCAUUGUGGAAAGUUUUUCGGUGUGGGAUGAGCUCGCGGCCUAUCAGCUUGUUGGUGGGGUAAUGGCCUACCAAGGCGUCGACGGGUAGCCGGCCUGAGAGGGUGUACGGCCACAUUGGGACUGAGAUACGGCCCAGACUCCUACGGGAGGCAGCAGUGGGGAAUAUUGCACAAUGGGCGCAAGCCUGAUGCAGCGACGCCGCGUGGGGGAUGACGGCCUUCGGGUUGUAAACUGCUUUCGCUAGGGACGAAGCGCAAGUGACGGUACCUGGAGAAGAAGCACCGGCUAACUACGUG